GCCAGGGUGGCAGAAUCCGGUUAACGCGCCGGUCUUGAAAACCGGUGCCCGCAAGGGCUUUUGGGUUCAAAUCCCAACCCUGGCG
rnacentral:tRNA from 1 species